rnacentral:rRNA from 1 species
UAAGGAAUAUUGGUCAAUGGACGCAAGUCUGAACCAGCCAUGCCGCGUGAAGGAUGAAGGUCCUCUGGAUUGUAAACUUCUUUUAUCUGGACGAAAAAGGGAUUUUUAUCUCAAUUGACGGUACCAGAGGAAUAAGCACCGGCUAACUCCGUGCCAGCAGCCGCGGUAAUAAGGAGAGUGCGAGCGUUAUCCGGAUUUACUGGGUUUAAAGGGUGCGUAGGUGGGCUUAUAAGUCAGUGGUGAAAUCUCCGAGCUUAACUUGGAAACUGCCGUUGAUACUAUAGAUCUUGAAUUAUCUGGAGGUAAGCGGAAUAUGUCAUGUAGCGGUGAAAUGCUUAGAUAUGACAUAGAACACCAAUUGCGAAGGCAGCUUACUACAUAUAAAUUGACGCUGAGGCACGAAAGCGUGGGGAUCAAACA